rnacentral:rRNA from 1 species
AGAGUUUGAUCAUGGCUCAGAUUGAACGCUGGCGGCAGGCCUAACACAUGCAAGUCGAACGGUAACAGGAAGCAGCUUGCUGCUUUGCUGACGAGUGGCGGACGGGUGAGUAAUGUCUGGGAAACUGCCUGAUGGAGGGGGAUAACUUGUCUGGGAAACUGCCUGAUGGAGGGGGAUAACUACUGGAAACGGUAGCUAAUACCGCAUAACGUCGCAAGACCAAAGAGGGGGAGGGUCAUCCGCCUCUUGCCAUCGGAUGUGCCCAGAUGGGAUUAGCUAGUAGGUGGGGUAACGGCUCACCUAGGCGACGAUCCCUAGCUGGUCUGAGAGGAUGACCAGCCACACUGGAACUGAGACACGGUCCAGACUCCUACGGGAGGCAGCAGUGGGGAAUAUUGCACAAUGGGCGCAAGCCUGAUGCAGCCAUGCCGCGUGUAUGAAGAAGGCCUUCGGGUUGUAAAGUACUUUCAGCGGGGAGGAAGGGAGUAAAGUUAAUACCUUUGCUCAUUGACGUUACCCGCAGAAGAAGCACCGGCUAACUCCGUGCCAGCAGCCGCGGUAAUACGGAGGGUGCAAGCGUUAAUCGGAAUUACUGGGCGUAAAGCGCACGCAGGCGGUUUGUUAAGUCAGAUGUGAAAUCCCCGGGCUCAACCUGGGAACUGCAUCUGAUACUGGCAAGCUUGAGUCUCGUAGAGGGGGGUAGAAUUCCAGGUGUAGCGGUGAAAUGCGUAGAGAUCUGGAGGAAUACCGGUGGCGAAGGCGGCCCCCUGGACGAAGACUGACGCUCAGGUGCGAAAGCGUGGGGAGCAAACAGGUGCGAAAGCGUGGGGAGCAAACAGGAUUAGAUACCCUGGUAGUCCACGCCGUAAACGAUGUCGACUUGGAGGUUGUGCCCUUGAGGCGUGGCUUCCGGAGCUAACGCGUUAAGUCGACCGCCUGGGGAGUACGGCCGCAAGGUUAAAACUCAAAUGAAUUGACGGGGGCCCGCACAAGCGGUGGAGCAUGUGGUUUAAUUCGAUGCAACGCGAAGAACCUUACCUGGUCUUGACAUCCACGGAAGUUUUCAGAGAUGAGAAUGUGCCUUCGGGAACCGUGAGACAGGUGCUGCAUGGCUGUCGUCAGCUCGUGUUGUGAAAUGUUGGGUUAAGUCCCGCAACGAGCGCAACCCUUAUCCUUUGUUGCCAGCGGUCCGGCCGGGAACUCAAAGGAGACUGCCAGUGAUAAACUGGAGGAAGGUGGGGAUGACGUCAAGUCAUCAUGGCCCUUACGACCAGGGCUACACACGUGCUACAAUGGCGCAUACAAAGAGAAGCGACCUCGCGAGAGCAAGCGAACCUCAUAAAGUGCGUCGUAGUCCGGAUUGGAGUCUGCAACUCGACUCCAUGAAGUCGGAAUCGCUAGUAAUCGUGGAUCAGAAUGCCACGGUGAAUACGUUCCCGGGCCUUGUACACACCGCCCGUCACACCAUGGGAGUGGGUUGCAAAAGAAGUAGGUAGCUUAACCUUCGGGAGGGCGCUUACCACUUUGUGAUUCAUGACUGGGGUGAAGUCGUAACAAGGUAACCGUAGGGGAACCUGCGGUUG